UAGGGAAUCUUCGGCAAUGGACGGAAGUCUGACCGAGCAACGCCGCGUGAGUGAAGAAGGUUUUCGGAUCGUAAAGCUCUGUUGUUAGAGAAGAACGUUGGUAGGAGUGGAAAAUCUACCAAGUGACGGUAACUAACCAGAAAGGGACGGCUAACUACGUGCCAGCAGCCGCGGGAAUACGUAGGUCCCGAGCGUUGUCCGGAUUUAUUGGGCGUAAAGCGAGCGCAGGCGAUUCUUUAAGUCUGAAGUUAAAGGCAGUGGCUUAACCAUUGUACGCUUUGGAAACUGGAGGACUUGAGUGCAGAAGGGGAGAGUGGAAUUCCAUGUGUAGCGGUGAAAUGCGUAGAUAUAUGGAGGAACACCGGUGGCGAAAGCGGCUCUCUGGUCUGUAACUGACGCUGAGGCUCGAAAGCGUGGGGAGCAAACAGG
rnacentral:rRNA from 1 species